CAGUCGCCACGGUAAUACGGAGGGUGCAAGCGUUAAUCGGAAUUACUGGGCGUAAAGCGUGCGUAGGCGGUUCGUUAAGUCUGUUGUGAAAGCCCCGGGCUCAACCUGGGAAUGGCAAUGGAUACUGGCGAGCUAGAGUGUGUCAGAGGAUGGUGGAAUUCCCGGUGUAGCGGUGAAAUGCGUAGAGAUCGGGAGGAACAUCAGUGGCGAAGGCGGCCAUCUGGGACAACACUGACGCUGAGGCACGAAAGCGUGGGGAGCAAACAGGAUUAGAUACCCCGGUAGUCCCUGUCUCUUAUAC
rnacentral:rRNA from 1 species